GAAGCUGGCGUUGGAAACCAUGGCUCCAGCGAUCGUGGAUGCGAUGUGGGUACCAUGGCCAUCGUUAUCUCGAGCUGAUCGGAAAAAGUUGGAGGAUGUGAAAUUCUGGCCCGUUAUACAUUCUCCUGUGAAUCUUUUAGGAACGGGACCUAAUCCAUAAUCGUUGAAGCUCUUCGAUUCAGGCCAAAUUCCUAAAUAUUCAUUUGCACUUGAUUGUGCUCUUCACCAUAGCCUACCCCGAGAAAUCUCCAUGAACGAGUCGUGUGAGUCCUUCUAGUUCUACUUUCAAACACAGACACAACCGAAUCCCUUUCUGCAGCAAAAACAAAAGCAAAAACAAAAUUUUCUUUUCCUGAAUCUCAGUGAACUAAGGCAUUUGUCUGUGCUCAAUUUAUGCAUUUGUUGAAUACCUGCAAGCUUUUGAGCCUGGUGUGGUGUUAGCAUAGCAGAAAAACCUCUAAAGCUUUUUGUAUAAUGGUGGCGCACCGCGUCUUUUGCCUCUUCAUAGCUGAAACCAGUUGAAUUCAACAAACUUUUCUUCACUUAGCUCAUCAAAACACAUGUAUAUUGGUAUCUUCAGUUGAGAAAAAAAAAAAAAG